AUAUUGGUCAAUGGGUGAGAGCCUGAACCAGCCAUGCCGCGUGCAGGAAGACGGCCUUCUGGGUUGUAAACUGCUUUUGUCAGGGGAUAAAAUUUCCUUGCGAGGAAAAUUGAAGGUACCUGGCGAAUAAGCCACGGCUACCUACGUGCCAGCAGCCGCGGUAAUACGUAGGUGGCAAGCGUUGUCCGGAUUUAUUGGGUUUAAAGGGUGCGUAGGCGGCCUAUUAAGUCAGUGCUGAAAUAUUCCGGCUUAACCGGGAGGGUGGCAUUGAUACUGAUGGGCUAGAGUACAGAUGAGGUAGGCGGAAUUGACGGUGUAGCGGUGAAAUGCUUAGAUAUCGUCAAGAACACCUAUAGCGAAGGCAGCUUACUAGGCUGUAACUGACGCUGAGGCACGAAAGUGUGGGGAUCAAACAGG
rnacentral:rRNA from 1 species